CCUACGGGAGGCAGCAGUGAGGAAUAUUGGUCAAUGGACGAGAGUCUGAACCAGCCAAGUAGCGUGAAGGAUGACUGCCCUAUGGGUUGUAAACUUCUUUUAUAUGGGAAUAAAACGUUCCACGUGUGGGCUUUUGUAUGUACCAUAUGAAUAAGGAUCGGCUAACUCCGUGCCAGCAGCCGCGGUAAUACGGAGGAUCCGAGCGUUAUCCGGAUUUAUUGGGUUUAAAGGGAGCGUAGGUGGAUUGUUAAGUCAGUUGUGAAAGUUUGCGGCUCAACCGUAAAAUUGCAGUUGAAACUGGCAGUCUUGAGUACAGUAGAGGUGGGCGGAAUUCGUGGUGUAGCGGUGAAAUGCUUAGAUAUCACGAAGAACCCCGAUUGCGAAGGCAGCUUACUAAACUGUGACUGACAUUGAUGCUCGAAAGUGUGGGUAUCAAACAGGAUUAGAUGCCCUUGUAGUC
rnacentral:rRNA from 1 species